GUUGCCCAGGCUGGAGUACAAUGGUGUGAUCUCGGCUCACUGCAGCCUCCGCCUCCGGGUUCAAGCAGUUCUCCUGCCUCAGCCUCCUGAAUAGCUGGGAUUACAGGCACCCGCCACCAUGCCUAAUUUUUUGUAAUUUUAGUAGAGACGGGGUUUCACCAUGUUGGCCAGGCUGAUCUUGAACUCCUGACCUCAGGUGAUCCACCUGCCUCGGCCUCCCAAAGUGCUGGGAUUACAGGCGUGAACCACCUCAUCAGGCCUAGACCUCAUCUCUUCUUUAGCCCUAACCAUCCCUAUGCUCCAGGUAGGAAACUGAGGCUAGGAAAGGCCAAGCGACUUGCCCCAGUCCCACAGGCUUCCAUGAGGAGCUCAGCCUAGAUUUGGGUCCAGAACUCCAGCACCUGGUGUAGUCCUGGCUGAUAUGAUACUAGUUCCACUUGAAGGGGCAGCUGGCCAGAAUGUCUCUGAUACAGACCUGAUCACUGUUGAGCCAGGAGUGAGAGGCCUGAGGGAGGCUCUGGUGAGAGGGUACAGUGUCUGCUACCAAGCAAAGCCCAGCCUGACAAACCAGUCCCCCUCCUUGCUUCCCUUUGAACCCUGUAACUCUCUUCCUGAGCUUUUCCAGGACAGCCCAGAACCACCACCCUCUUGCUGAGCCCAGAAAGGAAGAUGGACCUGACCAGAACCAAAGAGUGCCUUAGAGCUGGUCUGUGAGGGGCAGACCAGGAGCCUGCCAGGGUGCGGGACAGGGCGAGGAGCUAGCGUGCCUCACCCCUUCACCACCAUACUGUGCCUCUCACACACUUCCCCUCCACCAGGUGCCUGUGUGGAGGCUGCACGGGAUUUGUUUGCCCAGGGCGGGCCUCCACCUCAUCAUGGGCUAAUUGCUGCUCAACUUGGCUGCUGUGCCACCUCAAGCACUAUCUCCAGCUCCAGCAAACAACGAAGGCGUCAGGGUGGCGAGAUAUGUCCAAGCCACACACCACCCAUGCUGUCGCCGAGCUGGACUCCAGGCACCUGUGAAAGAGGCAGGGCAGAGAGCAGGCAGGAGGGCUGGAGUUCCAGCCGGAGUACUGUACUUGUACAGAGGCAGGCAGGCCCUUUCUGAAGAGGUGGUCUACACUCACCCUCCUGACAUUAGGCCCUUCACAGACCCCUUAAAUGUCCUUUUCCCUGCUGUGGGCUUUCUCAUUCACUGCCUCUGGACAAUCCCAUCCAUUUUCUGGUGCCUCUAUGACUAACUUCGAUCUUCCUAACCUCUUUGGGUUACUGGCUAUGUCAGAAUGUCAUGAAGACCAUGACCCAUUUCUUCACAAAAAUGCCCGGAUAGAGAAUUCUGAAUGGCAAAGUGCUCUAAGGGUCAUAGACACCCUUGCUCCUACAUCUCCAUCUUCACCCUAGCCCGUCUCUUGAAUGAUGCCUGCCCAGUCCUGUCCCAUCCACUUCCUUCCCACCCCCACUAUGCACACCUGCUCUCCCAUUUCCUCUUCCAACUCCCAAGUAUCCCUUUUUGUUCUCUCCUGCUCCAUCUCUGGGGCAGGUGCCCGGCCCAGGCAAGAUAAGCAGGAACCAGGCUGGUGGUUAAACGGUGGGGAAGAGGUGGGGUGGCUGCUCCAAGCCUCAAGUAGGACGGGGCUAAAGUCAGGCUGUCCUAGGGUAGAGUUGGGGAAAAACCUUGGAGUUUGGCAUCCCCUGGUGGCCAAAUGGCCCCAAAUGGAAGAUAAACUCUGUGGAGGACAGUAAGGAAAACUCACCAUCCAACACAAGUAUUCUCUCCACCACUUCCCUCCAGCACCCCCCG
rnacentral:lncRNA from 1 species